CUACGGGAGGCUGCAGUGGGGAAUAUUGCGCAAUGGGGGAAACCCUGACGCAGCAACGCCGCGUGGGUGAUGAAGGUUUUCGGAUCGUAAAACCCUGUUUUCUGGGACGAUAAUGACGGUACCAGAUGAGGAAGCCACGGCUAACUACGUGCCAGCAGCCGCGGUAAUACGUAGGUGGCAAGCGUUGUCCGGAUUUACUGGGCGUAAAGGGUGCGUAGGCGGAUGCUUAAGUGAGAUGUGAAAUACCUAGGCUUAACUUAGGGGCUGCAUUUCAAACUGGGCAUCUAGAGUACAGGAGAGGGAAACGGAAUUCCUAGUGUAGCGGUGAAAUGCGUAGAGAUUAGGAAGAACACCAGUGGCGAAGGCGGUUUCCUGGACUGUAACUGACGCUGAGGCACGAAAGCGUGGGUAGCAAACAGGAUUAGAUACCCGGGUAGUC
rnacentral:rRNA from 1 species